CUGUAGCGAUAUGGCGAAGGGGCAGUAAUACAUGGGUAACCUACCCUGGGGAUGGGCAUAGCCGGUCUAACGGCCGGGUAAUACCCAGAGAUUCGGCGAGGAGGCAUCUUUUUGCCGGGAAAUGAAUUUCGCUUCGGGAGGGGUCCAUGAGCUAUCAGCUAGUUGGUGGGGUAGCGGCCUACCAAGGCUAAGACGGCUAGCGGGUGUGAGAGCACGACCCGCGCCACUGGCACUGAGACACUGGCCAGACACCUACGGGUGGCUGCAGUCGAGGAUCUUCGUCAAUGGGCGAAAGCCUGAACGAGCGAUGCCGCGUGAGCGAUGAAGGCCUUCGGGUUGUAAAGCUCAAAAGUGAAGAGAAAGGGAAACUUGAUCGAUUCACAGUAAGCUCGGGCUAAGUUCGUGCCAGCAGCCGCGGUAAGACGAACCGAGCGAACGUUGUUCGGAAUCACUGGGCUUAAAGGGCGCGUANGCGGGCAUUCAAGUCUGUGGUGAAAUCCUCCAGCUCAACUGGAGAACUGCCAUGGAUACUGGGUGUCUCGAGGGUGGUANGGGUAUGCGGAACUAUCGGUGGAGCGNUGAAAUGCGUUGAUAUCGAUAGAACUCCGGUGGCGAAGCGGCUUACUGGGCCCAUCUGACGUGAAGCCGAAAGCCAGGGAGCAACGGGAUNAAUACCCCGNUAUCNUGNCCUAACGUGGG
rnacentral:rRNA from 1 species